AGAAUCAACGCUGGCGGCGUGCCUAACACAUGCAAGUCGAACGAGAAAGUGGAGCAAUCCAUGAGUAAGGUGGCGACCGGGUGAGUAACACGUGACUAACCUACCUUCGAGUGGGGGAUAACCUCGGGAAACCGGGGCUAAUACCGCAUAACAUCUUUGAAGUGGAAAUUUCGGAGAUCAAAGGGGCAAUUCGCUUGAAGAGGGGGUCGCGGCUGAUUAGCUAGUUGGCGGGUAACGCCCACAAGGCUUAGAUCGGUA
rnacentral:rRNA from 1 species